AGUUCCUGAUUCAUGGAGAUC
rnacentral:miRNA from 1 species